AGAGGGAUAGCUGGGUCAAAUGAUGGUUCCAUUCCCAGAUUUCCAAGGAAUCUCCAUACUGCUUUCCAUAUUGGCUGUACCAAUUUGCAGUCCCACCAGCAGU
rnacentral:pre_miRNA from 1 species